GAUGACGAACGUAGCGAAAUGCGAUAAGUAAUGUGAAUUGCAGAAUUCAGUGAAUCAUCGAAUCUUUGAACGCACAUUGCGCCCGCCAGUAUUCUGGCGGGCAUGCCUGUCCGAGCGUCAUUUCAACCCUCGAACCCCUCCGGGGGGUCGGCGUUGGGGAUCGGGAACCCCUAAGACGGGAUCCCGGCCCCGAAAUACAGUGGCGGUCUCGCCGCAGCCUCUCCUGCGCAGUAGUUUGCACAACUCGCACCGGGAGCGCGGCGCGUCCACGUCCGUAAAACACCCAACUUCUGAAAUGUUGACCUCGGAUCAGGUAGGAAUACCCGCUGAACUUAAGCAUAUCAAUAAGCGGAGGA
rnacentral:misc_RNA from 1 species